rnacentral:lncRNA from 1 species
UUCUAUGGUUUUAUUUGAGGAUUUUGUGUCUUUUUUUUUAUUCCAAUUUUUGCUAAUUUCGUGUUUUGAUUGCUUAGUGCAAUUCCAUUUUUUUAUUCCGAUUGUAUCUACAUAUUCUAAUUUUUUUUCGGGUUGCUAACUCAACAGUAAAGUACUUGGCUUUUAAGUGCGAGUAGCAUGUUUUACACAUUUGUAUGAAGAAAGGGAU